CAGUCGCCACGGUAAUACGUAGGGUGCAAGCGUUAAUCGGAAUUACUGGGCGUAAAGCGUGCGCAGGCGGUCCGCUAAGACAGAUGUGAAAUCCCCGGGCUUAACCUGGGAACUGCAUUUGUGACUGGCGGGCUAGAGUAUGGCAGAGGGGGGUAGGAUUCCACGUGUAGCAGUGAAAUGCGUAGAGAUGUGGAGGAAUACCGAUGGCGAAGGCAGCCCCCUGGGCCAAUACUGACGCUCAUGCACGAAAGCGUGGGGAGCAAACAGGAUUAGAUACCCGAGUAGUCCCUGUCUCUUAUAC
rnacentral:rRNA from 1 species